rnacentral:rRNA from 1 species
AUUGCACGCUGGCGGCAGGCCUAACACAUGCAAGUCGAGUGAGCGGCGGACGGGUGAGUAAUGUCUGGGAAACUGCCUGAUGGAGGGGGAUAACUACUGGAAACGGUAGCUAAUACCGCAUACCCUCAGAUGUGCCCAGAUGGGUUUAGCUAGUAGGUGGGGGAAUGGCUCACCUAGGCGACGAUCCCUAGCUGGUCUGAGAGGAGGACCAGCCAAACUGGAACUGAGACACGGUCCAGACUCCUACGGGAGGCAGCAGUUGGGAAUAUUGCACAAUGGGCGAAAGCCUGAUUCAUCCAUGCCGCGUGUAUGAAGAAGGCCUUCGGGUUGUAAAGUACUGUCAGCGAGGAGGCGUUACUCGCAGAAGAAGCACCGGCUAACUCCGUGCCAGCAGCCGCGGGAAUUC